CUUCUCCUACAAAAGAAAAUGAAAACAGGCUAAGAUCAUUCAGGCACAAUCUGUACUUUCAAAACUAAGAUUUUAUAACGUAGCAAGAUGAAAGAGGAUGUGUCCCUGCAGUUGUCGUCAGACACAUACUACUGAUUAGAUACAAAAAAUGCAGUUUUCCUCAACAUCAGUCCCUCUGUGGUAGAAAUGUUGGUGGUAAUAACAUUCAGCAUUUAUAUAAUGUGUCUCAUCCAAGGAUCUCAAAUUACUUUACAAAAUGUGCUAUAUAAGUCUCAGAUGGGGAAACUGAGGCACAGAGAGGCAAACUGACUUCCCCAAAGUAUGUAGAACUGGCUUUCAGUCUGGCACCCUAAUCACUGGACUAAACUGCUUCUCUAAAAGGGAUAGUGGACACUUGUUUUGAAAAUAUUCCACAUGCAGUUAUUAUGUGCAGCACUAACUGUUCUGUGCCGUAUGCUUCCAUGUCAUAAUGGAGGAAUUAAUAAAGUAAAAAGCAGUGCAAGUUUAAGCUGAGUGCAGGAGCAGUAACAUAUGGUCUACAAUGUCUAUAGACUAAGUUAUACCAGGUAAUCUGUCCCUAUGGCCUUUUGUACACUAGGAUGUAUUGCAUGUGUUUUCAGGAAAGGUGAAGCUGUAAUAGUGGUGUAGCAGUGGUGUAAGAGCUAGAGACAGAAGUGCUCCAUUGUAUUGUGAAACCUGCUGAGUAUCACCAGCUUUGCUUCCUUUGGCCAUGUGGAAAGUGUGACAUCUACAGCAUCUUGUUCUCUGAAUGCAUGCAGUCAUGACCCACAGAGCUGUUCAUUCUCACCAGCAGGUACUGAUAGAGAGAAACUUCUACAGAGAAUACGGCACUGACUCACCAUAGAAGGCCCCAAUCCUACCAUCUGAUUUGCAUGACUGCACACUUGUAUCAAUGCAGAGCUUCACUGAGGAUCAGGGACCAACAGAAAAAUAGCGAUGCUAGCCUGCCCUUAUUAACGGGUUCAUUACCAUUGGAUGGAGUCCCUAGGACAGCAUCGGGUCACUUAACUCCAGGACCAACUCCCAGACCUACCCCUGAAAAGAUGAGACAAGGUUUGUCUCUCUAAUAUCCUGGGACCAACACAGCUACAAAACUGAAAAGAUAUCCUUUCAGAGAAAGCUUGUCUGGUGGUCCUGGCAUCAACACUCCAAAUAUCCAUUACAGAUCUUAUCUGUUCAGGAGGUUUGAAGUGGACCCUCAGACAUGGAAAGGCUAGAAGAUGGAGGCAUCAGCUCAACUAUCUUCUGUAUUUACAAGCAGGAUUGACAAAACAAGAAGACUCAGAAGAUAAAUCUGUUUUUUAUUGCAAGAAGCACUACAAGGCAUCGAAGUUGCUUGUGUAACCAGAAAAAUGGAGUAAAUGCUACAGGCUAUAUCCUCAUGUCUUGAACAUCUGCACAUGGAACACAAACCAGUCUGCAAAUCAUUGUGGCCCAGCAAAAUUGAAAGAGAAUCUUCUUCUUCCAGCUAAUUGAAGGUGCCAUGCAGUUUGGCUGACACAUGGAGCUAGCCUAGAGAGGAUCAGAUGGGUAUGCUAAAUGCUCCUAAAGGACAUUGAGGAGUUAGAUGAACUGGCCAUGGUCAAAGAUGGAGACAGUGAUGAAGACCAAAGAAAUAGAUCCUCUACCCUCAAGAGCAAAAUAAACCUUAACUUCUAAUUUAUGGAGAUGUGCUAACUACAACAAAAGUGGUACCUCUGCCCAUUCAGUUACCAAUAGCAGACCAAAAAUGAGAUCCACCUAUAUGAACAGAGUGACAUAUCCCCUACAAUAAACCCAGUGGUGUGAGAUGGUAGCCAUUAAAUCUUAAGCCAGCCCAGAAGAGCUAUUGUACACAAAAAUGUUAAAGUAAUAUAGAAUAAGCAUGGGAAACCCCAGUGUCACAGGUGGAUGAGAACUCUGAUGAGGCAGAGUUUACACUAUAAGUAUUCUCAUCUUAAACCUAUCCCCAAACUCCCAAAACAGGAUAGAAUAAGUUACAUGAAGAAUGUAACCCCCUAAAAUUUAGAAACAAAAUAAAGAUAAAAAUAGAUACAUAAUGAAGUGAAUUAAUUAAACGUUCUUCAGUACAACAAGUAUAGAAACAAAGAGUUUCACCUGGUAAAAAAUAUUCAGGUGUCUUCAAUAUUUGAAAUUUCUCUUAAAUGUUUGUUUAAUAUCAAUUAAUAUACCAAAUAUCCAACAGAUUUACAUUACUGAAGUGUUCCAGGUUGACCCACUUAAUUUUAAUAUUUCAAAUGAUGUGCUGUAAUUAUUACA